ACCAACAUAUCACCUCAACAUAUCGAAGAUAAAUCAAAGUUUUUAUAGAAAUAUUUGUAACCGCAUCGGUUAAGAGAUAUUUUAUUAUAAAAAAAAUGACAUAUCGCCUUUAUUAGAACGAGAAUAUUGUUUAUAAUAUAAUUAUAGCAGCAUUAUAGUAAUUUUUAAAAAAACAUAUCGUAUAUAGAAAAAUGGAGUUCGUAAGCUUAAGAAGUAGUUUAAGAAUAGUGUGGGCGACGGUCGUGAUGCUGUUGUUCCUGACAAAGACCAGCGCAGCACCAGCUUUUGGAGAAACUAACAAGGCAAUGUCUGAUUAUGAGAUGAACUUUCAGAUGUACCUCGCACAAUAUGGAUACUUAAGUCCGUCUGUAAGAAAUCCAUCCAGUGGUCACAUUAUGGAUGAAAGCUCCUGGAAGAAAGCUAUAGCAGAGUUUCAAAGCUUCGCCGGAUUGAACACGACAGGUGAACUUGACGAAGAGACAAAAAAUUUAAUGUCACUGCCAAGGUGUGGAGUUAAAGAUAAAGUAGGUUUCGGCGAAAGCAGGUCCAAGAGGUACGCCCUGCAAGGUUCAAGAUGGCGUGUAAAAAAUCUGACGUACAAAAUAUCGAAGUACCCCUCUCGACUAAACCGCGAUGAAGUUGAUACAGAGCUGGCGAAAGCUUUUUCAGUGUGGUCCGAUUAUACCGACCUGACAUUUACACAAAAGAGAUCCGGACAAGUUCAUAUCGAAAUUAGGUUUGAAAAAGGCGAGCAUGGUGACGGCGAUCCGUUUGACGGUCCCGGUGGCACCCUCGCACACGCUUACUUCCCUGUUUACGGUGGUGAUGCUCAUUUCGAUGACGCUGAGAUGUGGUCUAUAAAUUCUCUGCGUGGGACCAAUCUCUUCCAGGUCGCGGCUCAUGAAUUCGGUCACUCAUUAGGGUUGUCGCACAGCGAUGUGCGAACUGCACUCAUGGCCCCAUUCUAUCGCGGCUACAACAAAGCCUUCCAGUUAGACCAAGAUGAUAUACAAGGAAUCCAGGCUCUGUAUGGACACAAAACUCAACUGGAUGUCGGUGGAUCCUUCCCAAGUCCAUCUGCACCUCGUAUAACCACCCCUCAGCCUUCUGCUGAAGAUCCAGCGUUGUGUGCCGAUCCUAAUAUCGAUACCAUUUUCAAUUCCGCUGAUGGCGCUACCUUCGUAUUCAAAGGUGAACACUACUGGCGUCUAACGGAGAACGGUGUAGCAGCUGGAUAUCCUCGUCUGAUCUCCCGAUCAUGGCCUGGUUUAACCGGUAACAUCGAUGCUGCAUUCACAUACAAGAACGGGAAAACGUAUUUCUUCAAGGGUUCUAAAUACUGGAGGUAUAAUGGCCAGAAGAUGGACGGACAGUAUCCGAAAGAAAUUAGUGAAGGAUUCACUGGUAUCCCUGAUAACUUAGACGCUGCACUUGUUUGGUCUGGCAAUGGUAAAAUAUAUUUCUAUAAGGGCUCCAAAUUCUGGAGGUUCGACCCUGCUCAGCGUCCUCCCGUGAAAUCAACCUAUCCCAAACCUCUCUCGAAUUGGGAAGGAAUUCCCGAUAAUAUAGAUGCGGCUCUGCAAUACACGAACGGUUACACGUACUUCUUCAAAGGCGGAUCCUACUGGCGAUUUAAUGACAGAACGUUCAGCGUGGACACAGAUAACCCAGCAUUCCCAAGGUCAACAGGUUAUUGGUGGCUCGGCUGCAGUAGCGCACCGAAAGGCACGGUCGGAGGUAACGCCAAAUACAUCCACCACGAUCACGAUGACGAUGAUGAAGUGGGGGACAUCACUUUCGAUGCAGGUGUAAAAUCAUCCGCUCCCAGAUCGUUCUUCUGGUUCAGGAAAUAGCCUCGGAGAGUUCCUGAACAUUUGUACAUAGCAAAAGUAAAAUAAAGAACAAAGACUAAAUUAGUUAAUUAGGAGAAUAUGAAUACCAGUGAGAUUAUAUAAGCGGUGAUUUUAAUACCGGCGAGCUUCUCACGCGUUGUUAUACUUCGAAGCCAUUACUUCGUGUGUUCGUCAUAAAAAUAUAAAUACCUCAACAUCGUAACAGUAAAAUAAACGUCGAGGGACCAUCGUAAGAUGUUUUAUGAUGUUCAAAAUUGCACAGUCUCUUUAUCACGAUGCAAAUAUUUUAUCAAUCAAUAAUACGUGUGAUGUUGAAUUGGUUUAUCAUUAAUGACGUUUGCGGAAUAGUUAUAUAGUGGUCAUAUGUUUGUGUAACUAACAUUUUGAGGUGUUUGUACAUCCUGUACAUACAUCUCUUAGAAUUAUCAUAGUCUAACGUGAUUUAUUGGUCGUAGUUUCAAAUAAAAUGUAUUUUGGAAUUUAAUUGAUAGAAAUUGGUUUACAAAUUAUGCAAUGUUUGUAGAUAGAAUGCAUGAUACUGUACAAAUAUCUAGUAGUUGCACAGGGGAUUCGGUGAAAUUUAGUAAAGAAUUCUUGCUAAAGGCAAGUUAAUUUUUCAGUGAUCAACGUACAGUCAGGCGGAGCUAGACUCUAGUAUUGACUCGGGACUCAUAUAAGGAGGGCAUGAACGUCCUCCGCCGCGUCACCACUCACCCGCAUCGUAGGUUAUCUUUCAUUUGUUACGCUUAACCGUGAAAUCCUUGACUCGGAAGGAUAGCGCGGCAACUAAUAUGCAUAUCCAUCAUCACACCAUUGUGUUCUUACAAGUUUGUGGCAUGAAGUGCACAGCACAUGAUGAUCAUUAUAUUUGUAUAGGUGUUUAAACGAUGGACCUGGUACU